UCCCUGGUGGUCCAGUGGCUAAGACUCUACGCUCCCGAUGCAGAGGGCCCGGGUUCAAUUCCUGGACAGGGAA
rnacentral:tRNA from 1 species